rnacentral:rRNA from 1 species
UGCAGUCGACGAUGAAGCCGGAGCUUGCUCUGGUGGAUUAGUGGCGAACGGGUGAGUAACACGUGAGUAACCUGCCCUUGACUCUGGGAUAAGCGUUGGAAACGACGUCUAAUACCGGAUACGAGCUGAGACCGCAUGGUCAUUAGCUGGAAAGAAUUUCGGUCAAGGAUGGACUCGCGGCCUAUCAGUUAGUUGGUGAGGUAACGGCUCACCAAGACGACGACGGGUAGCCGGCCUGAGAGGGUGACCGGCCACACUGGGACUGAGACACGGCCCAGACUCCUACGGGAGGCAGCAGUGGGGAAUAUUGCACAAUGGGCGCAAGCCUGAUGCAGCAACGCCGCGUGAGGGACGACGGCCUUCGGGUUGUAAACCUCUUUUAGCAGGGAAGAAGCGAAAGUGACGGUACCUGCAGAAAAAGCACCGGCUAACUACGUGCCAGCAGCCGCGGUAAUACGUAGGGUGCAAGCGUUGUCCGGAAUUAUUGGGCGUAAAGAGCUCGUAGGCGGUUUGUCGCGUCUGCUGUGAAAACGCGAGGCUCAACCUCGCGCCUGCAGUGGGUACGGGCAAACUAGAGUGCGGUAGGGGAGAUUGGAAUUCCUGGUGUAGCGGUGGAAUGCGCAGAUAUCAGGAGGAACACCAAUGGCGAAGGCAGAUCUCUGGGCCGUAACUGACGCU